UCUCAGACUCUGGGAACAAAUAAAAAAUGCUUACAUUUCAGACCAGCAAUUGAUCACAGAUUCAAAGACAUUUCCACUUCUGGAGCAACCAACUAGCAAUGCAGAAGAAAUAAGACUCAUUCUUUGACCAUGGAGCAACCCCCAGCUGUUGCAGCAUCGAAUCUAUUUACAUUCGCUUUUCCCUUCGUCUUCUUCACAAUCUUCCUCAUCAGAUGGCUUAUUCCCACUACACCGCCAACCCAGAAAUGCUUGCCUCCUUCUCCGCCGGGCCUCCCAAUCAUAGGGAACCUCCACCAGUUGGGCCGCCUCCCUCACCGGUCCUUACAACUUCUAUCCCAGCGCCACGGCCCACUGAUGCUACUUCACUUGGGGGUCAGACCAGUUCUCGUAGUCUCCUCCGCAGACGACGCUCGUGACAUCAUGAAAACCCACGAUCUCAUCUUCUCCAACAGACCCAGAUUGACAGUUGCUGACAGACUUCUCUACCAAGGUAAAGAUGUAGCUUCUGCUCCGUACGGUGAGCAUUGGAGGAAUGCAAGAAGCAUAUGUGUUCUUCAGCUGUUGAGUACCAACAAGGUUCGGUCUUUCCGCGCCGAGAGAGAGGAAGAACUGGAGUUACUCUUAGAAGAGGUGACGCGGUCGGCUUCGCUGUCAUUGCCUGUGAAUCUAAGCGAAUUGUUUGCUUCGCUUAGUGUUGAUGUGAUUUGUAGGGUGGCUUUUGGGAGAAAGUAUGGUGGAGUGAAGUUUAAGGAGAUGCUUGGGGAGUUUAUGAGGCUGUUGGGGGGUUUCUAUAUGAGGGAUUUUGUUCCAUGGCUUGGUUGGGUUGAUCGCAUUAAUGGGUCAGAUACGAAAAUCGAGAGAGUUGCCGAAGAGUUUGAUAGAUUUCUGGAUGAUGUAGUGGAAGAGCAUAUGAGUGUUUUGAAAACGAAAGAAGAGAAUGGAGAUACGAGUGUUGACGAUGAAGGUGGAAAGGAUUUUGUGGAUGUACUACUUGAAGUUCAGAGCUCUGGCACUGAUGGCUCUUCAUUUGAUAGAGAUAGCAUUAAAGGUAUCAUCUUGGAUAUGUUUUCUGGUGGAACUGAUACAACCUACACAGUUCUAGAGUGGGCAAUGACCGAAAUCUUGAGGCAUCCCAGAGUUUGUAGAAAAAUGCAAAAUGAGGCGAUGGAGAUUGCUAAUGGCAAACCACACAUCACAGAAAGUGAUUUAGAUAAAAUGCACUACUUGAAAGCAGUGAUCAAAGAGACACUUCGGCUACAUCCGCCAAUACCAUUACUCUCCCCUCGUGAAUCAACUGAAGAUGUUAAGAUUAUGGAAUAUGACAUAGAAGCAAAAACUAUGGUCUUUAUCAAUGCUUGGGCAAUUGGAAGAGACCCAGCAGAGUGGGAUGAACCAGAAGAGUUUCGACCGGAGAGAUUCAUGAAUUCUUCUGUGGAUUUCAAAGGUCAUGACUUUCAAUUGCUCCCAUUUGGAGCUGGUAGAAGGGGCUGCCCAGGAAUCUUAUUUGCCAUGGCUAGCAAUGAGCUUGUGUUGGCAAAUAUUGUGCACAAGUUUGACUGGGAAUUGCCUGCUGGAACAAGUGCAGAUAGUAUAAACAUGACCGAAAGCAGCGGUCUUGUUGCCCAUAGAAAAGUUCCUCUUGUCGCUGUUGCAAAACCAAGGUCUUUCUAGAAUAUUUCUGCACUUUCAUCUGGAAGGUCAGGCAAUCUUCUUCAACUUCUGGACUAAUCAGUACUAGCAAUGUUGCACCUGCUGUUUGUAUUUGCUCUUCACUUACUCGGCUUCAUACUCAUCAAAUGGCUUUUCACCAAAACCACCCAAAAACAGUUGCCUCCUUCACCACCAAGGCUUCCCAUACUUGGAAACUUACACCAGCUUUGCAUGUAACCUUCCCGAUUGUUGCAACGACUAGCUCAGCACCAUCUUGAACUCAUGGUGCUUCCUUAUGGCAUCAGACCAGUGGUCAUGGUUUCAUCUCCAGAUGCUGCUCAGGAAACCAUGAAAACAAAUGAUCUCAUCUUCUCUAUGAAGACAAAGAUGUGUCUACAGCUCCUUGCGGUUAGUGUUGGAGGCAAAUAAGAAGCAUAUGUCUGCUCCAGCUUUAAGUAACAAAAGGGGUUCUGAGGAGUAAGAGAAGAAGUAGCAUUGCUGUUUGAGAAUGUCAAAUAGUCUCUCUAUGGUCAUUGCCGGUCAAUCUAAGCGAAUUGUUUUCUUCUCUUACUAAUGAUUUGAUUUGUAAGGUGGCUUUUGGGAAAUAGUUUAGUAAGAUGCAAGGGAAUUUAAGAAGUUACUUAGGGGGGUUGUUGGGUGGUGAUUGUGUUGAGGAUUUUAUUCCUCAACUUUCUUGGAGUAGUCACUUUAAUGGGUUAGGAGCAAAAGUGGAGAAAAUUUCAAAAGGAUUGAUCAAUUUCUGGAAAUUGUUGUUCGAGCACAUGGGGUACUCUUUAGGUCUUGACGUUGUUGAAGGUCAGAUAAAUGAUUUUGUGGACAUCCUGCUUGAACACAUAACACAGCUUGCUCUUCUAUUGCUAAAAACAGCAUUCCUGCUGUCAUCUAGGGUAUGGUUGCGGGUGGUACUGAUACUACCUACACAAUUCUGGAGUGGGCUAGGAUUAACCCUUAAGGCACCCCCAGAGUGAUGAAAUGUAGCUGCAAAAUGGUGUUUUUUGCGAUUGCUAAUGGCAAACCAGACAUAACAGAGAGUGAAGUGGACAAGUCGCCAUAAGUGGGUUACAACAUUAAAGCCAGCCACACAAGUUACGGUGGCACAUUGGAAGAGAUCCUGAGUCAAACAUCAACGCAGAUUGAGGAGUUUUGAGCCAGAAAGGAUCUUGAUGCAGAGCAGUAUAGAUACCAAGGAAAUGAUUUUCAGUUUAUUCCAUUUGGGGAUGGUAGCCUGGUAGAAUGGUCUGCCUAGGAAUCCUACUUGCCAAGGCAGUUAAUGGGAUUGCUUUGGCAAACAACCUGCACCAAGUUUAAAUGGGAAUUUGCCCAAUGGAGCAAAAGGCGAAGAAUUGGACAUACGGAACCUUACCGGUAUAACCACAUAGAAAAUAUCCCUCUUAAAGCACUGAUGUUCAUUAUUUUCGUUGAAAAAUAGAGGGUAUAUUUACCUUUGUUUGGUUUUUGAUUCUUAAGAGUCGGUGUGGUAAAGAAACAAUAGUGGGAACAAUACCGUCCGAUCUUUACUUGGGGCUUUUAGAAGCUGCUUGUAGUGACCA